rnacentral:snRNA from 1 species
GGCUGUGAGGGAGAUCUGGCUGUGACAUCUAUCACUGCAUUGAUCACCAGGGUUGAUUUGGCUGAUCUGGCCAACUAGGCAAGUGUCCCCUUCUUCCCUCACCGCUCCAUGUGUAUCCCUCCUGAAGCUGCAUGCUUGGUCCAAGAGGACAACCUUCCCUGAUAAAGGAGAACCAUUCUUCAGUCAAGGGUAUAUGAGUAGCUGCUCUCCCUUACUAGAACCUCCAAACAAGCUCUCAAGGUCCAUUUGUAGGACAACGUAAGGUAGUCAAGCUUCCAAGACUCCAGAUACAUCCAAAUGAUGCACUGACUGUGGCAGUCUGUGUUUCUUU